rnacentral:rRNA from 1 species
UUAGGAAUAUUGGACAAUGGGCGCAAGCCUGAUCCAGCCAUGCCGCGUGAGUGAUGAAGGCCUUCGGGUUGUAAAGCUCUUUAGCCGACGAAUAUAAUGACUGUAGUCGGAGAAUAAGCCCCGGCUAACUUCGUGCCAGCAGCCGCGGUAAUACGAGGGGGGCGAGCGUUGUUCGGAAUCACUGGGCGUAAAGCGUGCGUAGGCGGUUAUAAAAGUUAGGAGUGAAAGCCCUGGGCUCAACCUAGGAAUUGCUCUUAAUACUGUAUAACUCGAAUUCGGGAGAGGAUAGCGGAAUUGUCAGUGUAGCAGUGAAAUGCGUAGAUAUUGACAGGAACACCGGUGGCGUAAGCGGCUAUCUGGACCGACAUUGACGCUGAGGCACGAAAGCGUGGGGAUCAAACAGG